UAAAGUGGAUCAAUGAAUUUCAUGUUGAAAAUGUUGCUCUAAAUCAAAAGAAUAUUUUCUUGACAAUAAUAUAUAUAAAUAUGUUAAUCUUCCAUGGAUCAAGCUGUACACCACAACUUGCAGUUGAAAAUUUCGUUACAUCAAAUCAACUUCACUGAGAGAUAAUAAGAAUUGGAAAUCCUUCAGUAGACACUCUUUACUCUCUUUCACUGCCUAGCUUUAGAUUCUUUCUUGGGGAUCCAAUUAUUCGCACAACAAUGGCAGCCAAGUAAUCGAGGACUUGGCUGACAUUUGAGAAAUUGGUUUUUUUUUUUCCUUCCUACUCGGAGAUUGUUUACCUUCUUCUUCUUUUAGUGUCAGGAAACAACAAUCAGAAGGAAAAUAUGGAGCUCAUGAAGUGAAACAGUCUCUUCUUUGUGCUUCAUCUGGGUACGUGAGUGGUGACAUAUUUAUAUAUAAAUGUCUUGAUGGUUGAAAGCUGGAACGUGCAUUUUGAGAAGCAAGUAAAUAGAUAAAAGUAAAACAGAAUGUCCAAGUGUUACAGGAUAAAUGUUGGUGUAUGUGCUUUGCUUGUUGCAAGCAUAGUUCUAUCUAUGAGUUCAUGGCCGGUAGUAACAGAAGCGAGAAUUUCCAAGUUCACAGCUAUCCAAGAAAGUUUAGUCCGUGAGAGUACAAAAGGAAGUGAAGUACGACGUCGUCGAAUUCUGAGGCAAGGUCCAUUAGGUCAGUCAACUCCAGUACCAGCUCCACAAGUUAGACAAAAUGGUUGAAGUGAUAGUAGGAAGUGGUCUUUUAAUAUUGGAAGAUUUUAUGUAAGAAUUGGAGUUGUUGGUCGCUGUAACUUGUGUAAGUAUGGGAAUCUUGGAUGAGCAAGGAUUUGUUGGUUAUUUUAAGGGUUGUAGUGGAAGACCCUGAACCUGCCUGGGGAUGUCAUUAAAAGACAAAAUCAGUCAACUGUAUCUGGUCUUUAUUAUCAAUAAAAUUUCUUUCCCCUUCUGUCA